UUAUUUUGUAGGUAAGUAUAUUUUUAUUUUUCCUUUGUUAUUUUCUAUACUUAGUUUCAACUUUAGUAUUAUUUAUUUUUUUAUUUAGGUUUUACGUUUUUAUUGAUUACAAAACUCUAGCAUCAUAGAAAUAAUAUUACGCCAUUCAAUAUUAUUUAUAAACGCGCUGCAAGGCUAAAUUAGCUUUUUCAUUUACGCUUUACAUCCCCUUCGGCCGCGUAUGUAACCGGAGUUUUGUAACCAGUUACCUAAGAAGAAAAAAUGAUCCUCAUAGGAUACUGGUAUCCAAGUGAUAUAUUUUUUUCCUUUCACGUAACCGAGUUACAACCUAGGAAAACUUCCUAAUGAUUACGAGUAAGUACUUUAUAUUCCUCGCAGGUAACUGCUUGAAAGAUAGGUAUGGUAUUAUCAACCUCUUUUGAUAUCAUGCACUCCACAUUCUUUAUAUAACUGACGUUUUCAUAACACCUAGCACGGUACUGCUACAACCUGAACGCACAAACUGAGACAGAAUAGUAUAGUACUGUUCUGUCUCAGCUUGUGCUGCCUACUAUUCUGCCCCGCUGCUCUGCCCUCGUGUGAAACGGGCAUAACUUUGCAACUCAAAUAUCAUGAACUAAGCGUAAUACUUUCUGUUGCCCUGGUACUUUUCACUCUUUUCUCACCACGAUAUUCGUCACUUAUUCCAGAUGUCUUCAAUUACAAAAAAAAUAAUAUGGUAUAGGUCCUCGGUAAAGCAUGGGUCCGGUUGACUCAUGGUUUCAUAAGAGUAUUAUUUAUUCCUUACUGGAUACUAGUUACGAACAAUCAUACAGGUAUCAGUAAAGGUAAAAAUCCUAUUACUUGGAUACCAGUAUCCUAUGAGGAUCAUUUUUUAUUUUUAUGUAACUGGUUACAAAACUCCGGUUACAUACGCGGCCGAAGGGUUUAUUUACAUCAUAAACAAAAACCUCUUUGACAUGCCAAGGUCCCGGGCGCAAGCAAGCUAAUGUAUACCUAACUUGUAAGUGUCAAGUUUAUUUUGAGUGUCUUAUGACAGACAUUUUUAGUCGUCCCUGGCGAUAUGGGGCUGUGGGCACGACUACAGUCGGAACAAGACAAGUCUGCAACGAUUUUGAUAGCACACGCAGAGCAAGUGUUAUUUUUCUACGUCAUAAUUUCAUAGAUGUUUGACGUGCCCCUCCCCCGCAAAAAUCAGUAGACUGUAACAGGCUUGUUUUGUACAGAAAAUUCAGGCAAGGCGUCUCCAAUUGUCAAAUCCUCCAGGAUUAAAAUCGACAAUCUAGUCCAAACAUCUUAGAAAGGCGUCAUCAUAGUCUAUGAAUAAGCACUAAAAAAUAAAAGUGACAUUUGUCAUUUUAUAUCGGGUGCCAUUUAAAAUCAUAAAUUUAUUUACAGAAAAUAAUUCUAAAAGAAAAUCUACCAAACUAAUUUACAAUAAAAACCAUAAAUUCCCAAGAUUUGAUCAGUGUUCCGUCCUAUUGACAAGGUUAGUUGACUUUUAUUCUACUAAGAUUGCAUGCGUUUGCUGCUGUUGACUAUAAGUAUAGCGGACUAGCAGACCUGCGAUAAUUAUUAUUGUAUUUCCAACUGACUUUUAAAAGAAGGAGGCUCUCCAUCCGGCUGAUUUUAUUUAACGAGAUAACGACAAACCCAAAAAGAUAGAGUUAUGAUUUUAACAGUUUUUGUGUGCAUGUCUUUGAUGUGUCUAAAAAAUAAAUUACUCUUGAUGAAUUGGAGCUGCUCCUAAAAAACAUUACACCGUCAAUGUUUACUUAUAAGUAUUAUGAUGAUAGCUUUAUAGUCGUUCGUAAGAUAGCAUGCUGGUAUAACCUGUAAAGUACUAAUAGCAGAAUAAGCAACCAAUUGCCACCUACCACGUAAAAACACUAUACUUAUUCUUUACAAAUAAAUACUGUAGUUAGGUAGAUACUUUAUAUUCCAUAUCUGAUCAUUAGAUUUAUUUGUUGAAAAAGAGGCUCAUUAAGAUCGUAUAAUGAUCAACGGAACUCCAUAAUAAACCAAUUUACCUAUCCUAGUCAUGUUUGGAACAAUUGAAAUAAGAUGCACAAGUAUAUGUGAGUAAUAAAUGAUUUCAAAGGUAUUUUCACUACUCUUAAGUUAUUAUUAUUAUUAUACUUGUUGUAUUCCGAGGUUAUAAGCAUUAUUUGUUAUAAGUUAACUAUAGUCGAGCACGACGUUCUAAUAUUUAGAAUUAAUGGUUUCGUAGCCAAAAUGGCAAUAAAGAUCCAUCCGUCCGUCCGUCCGCCCGUUCGUCCGUCCGUCCGUCCGUUCGUUCGUCGGCCGUCCGUCCGUCCGUCCGUUCGUUCGUCGGCCGUCCGUCCGUCCGUUCCCAGCUGUCCGUCCUUUGUCUGUCCGUCCGUCCGUCCGUCCGUCCGUCUGUCUGUCUGUUUGUCUAUUUGUAUGUUAGAGCCAUUAGACUAGGAGUGUAUAUAGGUAUAAUAAUGAUAAUGACAUUGAGGAUGUAGGUAGUAAAAACGUAUAAGCUACUCUUUUUUACAGAGGCAACCAGGCGUACGGCCCGGCCCGUCCGAUAGUUUAGUUUAGUUUAUUCAUAUCACAUACUUACAGGUUUCAUUUUAUUAAAUUAGCUUAACCGUUAUAAAACGAUUGUUUAGAUACUUAUGCAAAGUAAGUUCCAGAAGAAGAAAAUGAAAAAUGAAUUACUAGUUUUGAAUUUUGACAAAGUAUUUAUAUAAGCACCAGGUUUUAGUAAUGUUACAGCAAGUCGGCAAUCUAAGACGGUCGCUUAGCUUACGAGUAGUUGCUGGUGAUUCUACCCACAAAACUGCAAAUCCCGGGUUCGAUUCCCGAUAAGGGCAUUUAUUAGCAUGAUGAACACGGAUAUCUUUAUUUGUUUAUGUAAGCCCAUACAAGCUUUUAUUUAACUUGCUCUGUUAGUAUGUAAGUUUGUUAGUUAGGGUGGGUCAAAUCUUGGAAACUAAAAUUGACCCACUUCCCGAUUCCCGAUUAAGCUGAAGAUUUGCAUACAUAAUAACAUAUAAGUCGGGUGACAAUGCAAUAUUAUGGUACCAUCGAGCUGAUCUGAUGACGGAUACAGGAGGUGGCCAUAGAAACUCUGUGAUGAAACAACGGAACUAUAUUGUGUUUGGGGUUUUUAGAAUUAUCUCGAUGAGUAUUUAGUUACCUAUGGUAAGAAAAGUACAGUCAGCGACAAAGGUUUGUACCCAAAAAAGAUAAAAACUUUUUUUUUUUGGCAAAAACUUACCUAUUUAUAAAACAGUUUCGUUACUUAUAUACUGACAGACAACACAUACAGCUUAAUAAAUCGUUGAAGUUAAAACUAGGAAAUUUAAAACAUUACAUAUAUAGUACAAAUGGUGUAAAGGUGUCCUAAGGUAGGAUUUUCUGAAAUUUAACCCUUAAGGGGUAAGAAGGGGCUUAAAGUUAUUUAAGUUAUCUUUAAUUAUGUGAGUGUAUUUUUCAGUUAAAAUAUAAGUGAUUGUGACUGAUAAUGUUUUUUAUUUUCAUAACUGCAAAUCUGCUUUCAACUGGCCUGGAUAUACAAGGAGACAAACCAUGAAUGGACCAGAGCAACCAUGUUGAGCUACCUUCUUAUAAUAAUUAAGAAGUGGAGGGCGAUCCUUAUUUUAACAGUCGGAAACUUAUGCCUGACGAAACCGAGACACAUUACAAUGCAUUUAUGGUAAGAUAUUGUGUAUACAUAGAAAUGUAUAUUCCCAAUUAUUUCCAAAUCAGUUCUACUGAUCUAGUUGCAGUUAUAUGUAAAGCAUUUGUGAUACACCAGCGAUGGUUAUUAGAUGGUUUUGAGGUGACAUUGUUAUAAUUGUCGAUUUUUUUUAAAUUUAAACUUAAACUUCUUAAAGACUACACAUGCGCAGGCAUGUAUGUUCGUAACAAGUAAGUCAAAGAUAUGUAAGCCUAUAUCUUCUUUAAGUAUUUAAGAUCAUAUGAAUUUAUCCUCGAAAAGUCUCGAUUUUCUCAUUAUGAAAACGCAACCCACUGAGUGAUUAACCUUGAUACUUUUUUAUUUGUUUUGAAAUUCGACCAACAUUUGUAAUAGUGUCAUAUGAUUAAAUAAAUGAAUAAAUUACAAAUAUACUGAUAUCCCAAGAAACAGAAAAAAUAAUCGCAUAAUAUUGCCGAGUUAUGUCUGUGGGUUAGCUUAGAGAAGAACCACUAAUUACGAGUACAUACUCGUAUUCCCAAUACUCUGUCUAUGAAGUAGGCGAGCCUGGCUUCGAAUCCUCGUACGGGAAUUUAAUUGAUAUGUUUUUUGCAAAUACCUUGGUAACCUUUUUGUUACGAUGUGAGAACUGUUACCUAAAAUUAAUGUAAGUACUUUUGUCAAGGUAGAGAACUAUAGUACAAUGGCUACAAAUAUACAUAAAUAGUUGGUACCAAAUAUGAGUCGUGCGUAACAGAAAUAAAAUAUUUUUUAUGUCAUAUUCCCUUAUAUAGGUACUAAGAAACUUUAAUGUGUAACUCAUCAUACCUUAAUGUGUGUGUGUUUUUUUUUUGCAUUGCUUAGACGAAAAGCUCUUCAUUAGUUUGGCUACGGCGGUGAUCAGGUAUCAUCGGAGCGAUGUUGUCAAAUUGAAACGGAGAUAAUUUAUAAUUAUAUUGGUGACAAUAUUGGCUUGUUUUUAUUUUGUAAGUAGGUGUGUAGUUUUAACCUAAAUACUUAUUUAAAUAAUCUUCAGAGUGGUACUGUCAGCAUCUAUCAUAGUGGAUAAAACAACGCGCCAAAAGUAUCUGCCACCAUCGAACACUUUUCCAAUAUAUCUGUACAGUUCGCGUUCAAAAGUAUUUUGUCGCAGUUGAUUUUUUAGGGUUCCGUACCCAAAGGGUAAAGCGGGACCCUAUUACUUAGACUCCGCUGUCCGGCCGUCCGUCCGUCUGUUCGUCCGUCCGUCCGUCUGUCCGUCCGUCCGCCCGUCUGUCCGUCCGUCCGUCCGUCCAUCUGUGCGUCCUUCCGUCCGCCCGUCCGUCUGUCCGUCUGUCCGUCCGUCCAUCUGUCCGUCUGUCCGUCCGUGCGUCUGUCUGUCUGUCCGUCCGUCCGUCUGUCACCAGGCUGUAUCUCAUGAACCGUGAUAGUGAGAAAGUUGAAAUUUGCACAGAUAAUGUAUUUCUGUUGCCGCUAUAGCAAAAUAUACGUGCAUUUCAUUAAUUUCAGUAAUUGUACACUUUUGUUUGUGUUUGUCAUUCAUUCACCGUUACUUCUGUUUUACUCAUUUCCUCAAAGGUUAACUGGAAGAGAUCCCAUACAGGGAUAAGUUCGCCUUUGUUGUAUUUAAUUUACUCUGUAUCUGUGUUUUUCGUGUUUUUAUUUCUAUGUACAAUAAAGUAUAUACAUACAUACAUACAUACAUAUACCUAAUAAAAAACAAAAUUAAAUAAAUAUUUAAGGGGCCUCCCAUACAACAAACAUAUUUUUUUGCCGUUUUAUAGAUAAUUGUACGGAACCCUUCGUAGAGUCCAACCCGCACUUGGCCGGUUUUUUGUGUAUAGAGACGUAUCUCUUUAGGUUAAGUUAUAUGUAAAGCAUUUGUGAUACACCAGCGAUGGUUCAUAAGUGGCUGAUAGACGGGCGAGUAAGUUCGCGAACUUAUGGCUCGACGACUUUUUUCGCUUGUAAAGUACGCGUACUUAGGCUCACACACGAGCGAAAAAGGUCGUCGAGCUGUAAGUUCGCGAACUUACUCGCACGUCUAUCCGGGACUUUAGAUGGUUGUGAGGUGACAUUGUUGUAAUUAUCACUGUUUUUUUUUUUUUAAUUUAAACUUAUAGUACUUAGUAUUAGCUUCUUAAAGACUACACAUGCGUAGGCAUGUAUGUCCAAUGUGUGUAUGAAUGUAUGUAGAAUGAUAGCUACUUUUGAUGCUGACUAUACGUAUAAGUAGCGGCUGUAGAGUUCGGAACAUUUGACUAGGUAUAUCUAAUAAGUGUAAUGUUAAAUGUAAAUCCAUACUAAUAUUAUAAAUGCGAUUAGUAUCUAACUCUGAUUCAAAUGAAGUUCAAUUCAGGGAGUCCUCGGAGAUAGGAUGUAGGUUAGUUUUAUCCUGAAAUCCUGUCUACAGGAGAUGAGAAGGGAAUAUUGGAUCGCGUACGCAAUACAUAUUUUUAACUAACUACCUCUUAGCCAAUUUGAAACAUUGCAAAAAAAAACCUUUCAUUAUAAUAAGUACCUAAUUAUGUUACUAAUAAAUAAAUAAAUAAAUAUUAUAGGACAUUAUUACAUUGACUAAGUCCCUCAGUAAGCUCAAUAAGGCUUGUGUUGUAGGUACCUAGGCUUGUGUUGUAGGUACUAAUUAAGCCUUAUUUAUAUCUAUUGAUUUUGUAUCAUAAUGUAAAGCGAAGUAUUUGCCGUGCACGUAGGUAUGUACGAGUAUGGAAUCAUAUCGUUAAGUAUGUAUGUGUGUUCGUAUAUUACAUGUGACGAAGAUGUUGAUAUUUGUAAGAAGGAUCCCUACAAACUACUUUAAACUGAGACGAAGACUAAGCCUAAUUUAAGCCUAAGCGACCCUAUCUAAUAAGUAGGCGGUCCCAGGUUCGAAUCCUGGUAAGAAAAUAUAGAUGUUACAAUCCACUUACUGCACCACUUAGCAGAAUUGAAACUAAGAUAACUGUUGCCUUUUGGAUAGAAACCCUGGCUAAGAAAAAAGCGACUCUGGGUUCGAAUCCUUGUUAGAAAACUAAUUUAUAUGUGGAGACUUGAGAGGUUUUUAUUGGACGUACUUUCGCCACUCUUAGAAAUUAAAUAAACUUCGUAAAUUUAAUCAGUGUGAAUAAAAAAGUAUACAUAAUAUAUACUGAAUAGGCAUUCUUCGCAAACUGAAUAGAAUUGACCAGAAUAGGUUUUUUACUGAUCAUGUAAACUUGACAAAGUUAUCUUAUUAAACACAUCCAUAUGUUGCUUAUGCAUGUAUGUAUGUAGUUGCGCUUUUGAUUUAACUCCCGUCUUCCAUUACGAUGGUACAAAAUACAAACGGUAAGCUUUACAUAAUAUGGAUACCCGUUAUCAAUAUUCUAAAUAGCCCCACAAGUGGGUUGGUCUAAUAGCAUUUUGCGAGUCGCAUUCCAAGUUACAGUGGUAUAUAGGUAUACAAGGAAACAAUACCAAUGGUAUUAGAUGUAAAAAAUAUAUAUUAGGGCAUUACCUUACAACUUCCUAAAGUGGAGAUGAGUUUGUUCUUGUCGAUCACACGGUCUCAAGUAUCAUUGUGUAGGUAAUCCAUUUUCCGCCCAGGAGCCUAAAGUAUAAUUGAGUGCUAGUCAAAGUUUAGAACUCAGAAUUAAAAAAGGUUUCUUUCUCUCGAAAAGGCGUCGCCAUUGUUUAAUAUCUAUUUCAUUUUGUUUAUUUUUUUACGAUAAUCUACACACUUCUACCAUUCUUACUAUAUAUAUUAUAAAUAUUAUAAAUGCGAUAAUAACUUAUAUCACUCGUCUUGCUUAUGGAAAAAAUCCAGAAAGCGUUUCUGCGAUUCUUAUAUAAAAAGGUUUACGGGUAUUACCCAUAUUUGUACCCAUCAAAGUUCCUGCUUGGCGUUUUAGGGUUUAAUUCCUUAGAGGUGAGACGUAACUACGGGCUAUUGACUACUGUAUGUAACGUCUUACGGUGGAACUCAGACUGGCCUGAACUGGUUGCACAGCUCGUACGCCUGUUCGUUCCAUCUGUGGCUAAGGCCCAAUUUAAUUUCCGACCACGAAUUCGUCACCUAUUAGCGGUGCCUAAAACACGCACUAUGUCCCAUGGCAAAUCACCACUUGUCCGCGCUCUACAAUAUAUCGCGCUCCUCGCAUCAGCACCGGAAUGUAAUGUAUUUGCAAGUAGUAGGAUGGAUAUGUGUAAAGAAUGUAUGAAGUUCUGUGAGACGAUGGAUAAGCGAGAAUCUUCUGUUUUUUAUUUGUUUUUCUUUCUUACAUUUGUUCUCUUUUUCCUUUCUAGACUGUAUCAUGUACCUAGUUUGUAUACAUACUGUCUAUUAAAAAUUUCACAGUGUAUUAGUUUGCUGUAAUGCUGUGUAAAUUUUUUGAAUCAAUAAAAUAAAAAAUAAACUCUGUGUAAAAUUUGGUAUGGAGAUUGUUUCAGAGCCGGGGAAGGACAUCAGGAUAGUUUCUAUGAUUCAUCAUCAUUCUACGUCUACGCGUACGAAGUCGAGGGCAGAAACUAGUACUUAAAUAAAUGCAAUAUAAAUAAUAUUACUUAAUUAAGAGGGUAACAUAAAUAAUAACUAGACUUCGAUAGGUACCUAAAACAGUUUUAUAUUAAAUCAGGUUUCGUUGGAGGAAGAUUCCGAAUUUUGAGCAACGAUGCUAUGCGAGAAGUCGCGCAAAACAACGCGAGUUGCGUAUCCUGUACUGGAGGCCAAGACCCACGGUGCUGCUGAUUUACAAAUGAAAAUUUGUGUAAUGAUAUGCAAACGAAACCAGAGGAAUUAAGUGUUCAGCGGAACUGCUCCUGAAAAAAAGAUUGCUGUCAUAAGGUAUGUUUAUUAAUAAAUAUGUACAUAUUGUGGUACCUAAUAGGUAAUAUUACCGUGCUACAUCACUCGUUCUCUAAUCUCAAAGUCAAAUGGACCCCAUUCCAUGUAGGCAGACAUUCAUAAUAACGUUUAUAUAAAUCAAAUGUUUGCGUUCUUAACAUUUCAUAACAUAACAACGAAAUUAAAAAUUAUUAUUAAACAGAAACGUUUUACAUAAGGCAGUAAUUUUUCUCUUAAGUAACUUUUUAAUUUAUUAGAUACUUUCUUAUUAAGUACUUUAUUGUGCAACCAGGACUCUUAGCGUCUAAGACGAAGAGGCAGUCUUAGAAUUCGGUUCAACUAUAUGUAGUCGUAUGGCGCAAACACAUACAAUAUGUAUUUUUAUUUUAUAUUUCAUUGAAAUAAACGAUCCGUUAAUUAUAUUAUGUACUCAUAGAGGUAGACAUUAAUAUUUCAUACAAAAAAAAGUUGACCAGCUAAAAAUUGGGCCCGAAAAUGCGAAAAGUUAUUUUUUUUAAUUAUAAAUCAAGAUGACAGAAUAUCCAAAAGUAUGCCACGGUUUUAAGAUGAUUGUUAUAAAAUCAAGAAAAACAAAUAUAAUGUGAUGUACUUGUGUACAUAUUGUAAUAAAUAAGUGAACGUGGAGAUUUACUGAAAGUCUUUCCCGAGGGCCUCCAUGACGACACGUUGUGCCCUCCCAUUGCGACCAGGCCCACAUAUAUCGACAAGGAGCCGUUUUGCCUUGUGGUACGUAAUUACUGAUAUUUAAAUGAAUUUGGACUUAUUGUGUUUUACGCUGUUGAAUUUCGGUAAAGGUCAAUGUCGGGAAGUCCAUCUAUAAGAGAAGACAGUCUGACAAGCUCUUUCGUCGCUGUUAACUCCCUUUAAUUUUACACUCACUGAAGCGAUCAGGUCUAGCGAGUAGCAGUCUAAAAUGAUCGCCGACUGCGUUGAGUUUUGCGCAUGCCACAGACUGUAUUUUUCAGUUUAUAAUUUAUAUUAUACUACUUACUAUGUCGACUUACUACUGUGACUACUUAAUAAAAAAAAACACAAAUCAAAAUAUUUAAUAAUAUGAUUUGAUUUGUUCCCAAAGUUGUAGGUAUUAUGACUGUGUGUUACUUUAUUUUAUGUAGGUACGUAUUGUAUGUGUUUGUGUACAGUCAGCGUCAAAUACUUCGUAGCAUUCAAAGUGGCCAAAUAGUUCGGUACACCAUACUAAAUAUAUGGUGUACCGAACUAUUUGGCUACUUUGACUGCUACGAAGUAUUUGACGCUGACUGUACAUGGUUGAAAAUAAAUAAUUUGAAAUUAAAAUAUUUAGAGAGCACUAAAUUUGAAACGCUUGUUUCAUGUAUAAAAAAUAAAUUAAGUAGGGUGACUGCUAUAGUUAUUGGCCACUACAUAGGAAUUGGCCACUCAUAACAAUAAGACUUCAAUUGGCUUCUUUCUUCCUGAUUUGUUAGGAGUGGCCAAUAACCAUAGCAGUCACCCUAGGUAAGCGUAACCAAAACUAAAACGCACAAUUUCUUUUUCAUAGAUGCGGGUAUCUACUUUCAAUAUGUGUGACCAGCCUAUAAGAUCGAACCUGAAGCAAACAAGACAAUUUACCCUUAAAUGUAUUAGUAUAAGUUUGCCUAUUUAUUAUUAAUUCUCCAUAUUGCCUAAUAAAACAACUAUAUUGUGCAUUAGAAGACAGUAUCAUCCGGACAUGGUAUAUCAGAAUGUUACGUUCUGUGGAUAUACUCUGUUCUAAUGCACAGACAUUUUUAUUGUGUGAUUAAUUCAUGGGAUCCAUAAAUUGAGACUAUGACGAUUGCCCAUGGUAUGUGUUUAGUAGUAGUAGUAAGAAAAGCAUUCCUUUUUACCAAUUUGAGAAAGGCCCUUUUUUCUUGUAUCGUCCUCAUAUAUAUUAUGUCAACCUUAAACUUGUAUGUAGUAUUAAAGUCACUUCUAGGGUACUUUUGAGGGUUUAAUUCUACUUACUUACAUAUAUGAUAUGACAAUAGGGUUAGUGGAAGAAAUAAGAUGUAGACGAGUGCAUGCUAUAAUAGCGUAAAUUAAGUAUCUAUAAGUAUUACUCCUUCAGUAUUAGACCUAUAUAGAUGAGCCUUUCAGCUUUUUUUGGACAACAUUUGUAACACUUGAUGAGGUUAUUGUACAUUUUUUUUUCCUUUGCUACUAUCUACUCAGGUUGCAUUUUUUUGUGAUCCAAGCUUGCCUUUUGGAGUGAAAUAUAAUGGCGAAAAGAUGAAUGUAAAUAUUGUUGUCCAUUGAUAACGUUCUCUGCAGAUUUUGACGGCGAAAUUAAUAACACUGUCAAUAACUAUAUACUUAUUUUAUUAUUCAUAUUUUAAAGGGACUCUUAUUAUAAAAGUAUGAUACAAAUUUCGGAUCGGCAAUCCAGAGGUGUGGGUUCGAGUCCCACGAUGGCCACAGUUCAUCAUCACAGUUAAUUUAUUACAUUGUGAUUGACAUCUGUAUAUACAAUUCAUAAAGUAUACCAUUUUAAUAUUUGCUGCCCACCUUAUUAAAUUUUAGAGAAGAAGAAACAAUAUACGAGAAGUUCUGUACUAAGUGCAUAAAUACCAACAUAAUGACAAUAUUGUGUAAUAAUUCUAUCUAUUUUUGUUAAGUACCUACGUUAUAAUGUAUAGUUUUUAUUUUAUUUAUUGAUUAAUUAGUCACCUUAGGAUGUCGUUAUAGGUACUUGCUAAGCUAUAGGUUUAGCUUGUAAGACUCCAGUAACAUCAUUAUUAAGAUGUAACUCGUUUGUAACUACAGGAUCUACAAUAGCGUCUUAUAAGGGUGAAGUAUUAUUUUCUUUUCCGAUAUAAGGAGCUCUAAUAGUAUUUUAUGCAACAGUUGUAUAAGAACGGAGCCGAAGGCGUAGGCGAACAUUGUAAAGGAAUACGCCACGAGCAUUUUUUGACCUACUUAUACAACGUUGCAUACAAUAUUUUUCCUACGAGUCAACAAAAAUAAAUCUUAAUUUAGGUAAACAAAUUACAGCAAAAGUAUAUAGCCAAGACGCGCGAGCAUACCUUGUUACGCGCCCGGCCCGCCCCGGGCCGCGGCCGGCCGGUCAGCGACACCUUCUCGUAACUCAUGAGGCCCUGGUACUUGCUACUUGCUAAAUUAAAAUUUUGGACAGUCUUUUCUCAAUUUUGGCCACCGUAGCCUACGGAGACUAACAAGCAACGCUAAGCGGUCUUCGUAGUCUAUGGGUGUUGCUAUAUUACGGGUGUCACAUGCGUGUUUCUGACUUAUGAAGUAAUUAUUUUUACUAUGCAACCAAAUGAGUAAGUUGGCAGCAAUGCACUUAGUUUAAAACUUUGGUAGCCAUUAAUCGCAGUAACGUUAUAGCGAUUAAAAGCACAAGAGCUUUUAUGAGGAAUAGACAAUAUAGACUUUUCUUGAAACCUUUUAUGUAUGUUCUUAUAUUCGUGUUAAUGAAUGCAUAAAUGACAGAUAACAGUAGAGGAGUAGGAAAAAGACUUUUUUACGCCUGUUUAGACCCAGAAAACGCAAAUAGCAGCUGCUUAUUGCGUGUAUGGAUGUUAAGGUUGUACGAUUCACUUUAAGCUGUAACACUAACUUCUUACAAGUAGCAUGCAUUAUAGCGACCAAUACAGCUACCUGUGGCUCGGUGAACCUCUUAAACACUUUUAUGUCAACUGUACCUGUAGGCUAAGACUACGAGUAUGUAGCUAUUCUAGAGCUGUUUUAUGUCUAUAUUAGGUUCGGCUUUUCGUCCGUCUGUCUCUCUCUCUCUCUCUCUCUCUCUCUCUCUCUCUCUCUCUCUCUCUAUCUCUCUCUCAGUUACCACUUGACGCUUAAACCGCUUUAGAUAAAAUUAGUUCUGGAGGUAGUUUGAGGCCCGAGGAAGAUAAUAGGAUAGUUUUUAUCAAUCAUCAUCAUCAUCCCACGCAGACGAAGUCGCAGGUAGAAGAUGGUUAACUAUAAUAAUGGAUUGGAUAACAAUGCGUACGGUUACAGAUAACUUCUUGGUACGUUUUUGGUGACCGUAAAAAAUAAUAGCAGCAUGCAUAGGCCUUGGAAAUUGCACUUAAAAUGUAAUACUUAUAUAAGCUGUAUAUAAUGUAAAUGGCCUGUGGUACGAGUAUAUCGAUCACUUAUAGACAGGAAGGAAACUUAUCGUAAGGAAAUGUGAUGCAGUCGGCGAGACAAUACAAAGUCGUAUAGAUAAUAUAAUAUAUUAAUGUAAAAGGCUGAAAGAGAAUAGGUAAACUGAUUAUGUAAUUGAUGAUUCGACCAAGAAGAAAAUGAAUGACUGAGAUGUCUAGUAACCGAAGUCUGAAAGCGAUACUAAGGGCCAGUCGCACCAACCGCAAUUAGCGGACUGAUUAACGUCACUCACCGGUGACAUGAAAUUUCCUAAAAAAUAAAUUUAAGUAGUGAAAGCUUUAAUUGUGACAAAUGGUCUGUGUACGUGAGAUAUGCAAACGGAUGACAAACUGCUAUAAUAGUACGGGCACGUCUGAAAAUAUCGAUACAAAAAAAGUGCCAAAAAUAUGUGUACACGACUUUAUUGCCCAUAUAUUAAGGUGGUGUAUAUUUCAGACGUACGUUACUGUACAUCCUAUUAUUAGAGUGGAACCAAGGGCAAGAUUUUUAAACUCUUUUUUUAUUUAGUUUACAUAGUAGCGUUACAAAAUCGUUUAUAUAAGGUAUAAUUAUGGUAAAAGGGAAUGCACUAUUAUAUUUCUAAAGUCGUCGUUACUAGUCGUGCCCACAGCGUCGUGGGGCUGUGGGCACGACGAGCGACGACGCCUUUAGGUGUUAUUGGCGUUCAAAGGGUUAAAAAAAUCAGUAUGAAGUGCCUACCGCGAAAAUCAAAAUUUUGCUAUCCGUCUAUCACUCUUGCAUAAACGAGCGAUACAAUGGCGGAUAGAGAAAUUUCGAUUUUCGCGGUAGACCUCGAUGGUCUACCGUGAAAAUCG